rnacentral:lncRNA from 1 species
UUGGCCAAACUUUAUUUUAAAUUUUUAAUAAAAGAUAAUUUUUAUGAUAUCAUUAUGAAUGAUACUAAAAUCAUGCGAGGAUAAUUAAAAUAUAGCAUAUACUUACUAUCAUAGCCUAUUGGUGUAAUGUACACAUCAAAUAAAUAUCCUAAGAUAGAUAAUGUCAGCAAUUCCUAUAUUUGGCAUUGUAGGCUGGGCCAUAUGAAUAAGAACAAGAUAGACAGGCUAAUCAAGGAGGGUAUCCUUGAAAUUAAUGAUUAUGAAUUAUUACCAGUCUGUGAAUCAUGUCUUC